CAGUAAUUCUUCCAGUGCGUUUCUACCUAAAUGUCAUUCAGAGUAUUUUCUGUACUCAUUUGGUUUUCAGCAUAUGAUUAAUUUUCAGGAAUUCAAGAAGUAUUAAAAGGAGAAAAAUGUAUGCCAGGACUCCAGCAUCCUGCCCUUCCAUUAUUUCAAAGAUGAAGGAACAAGAGCAUGGAACUAGAAAGUCACAGUUCAAAAACAACAAAAAUUUGUCACAUAAUUCUGAAAGGACUGUUUUGGCUGGGAUCAAAGAGAAAUUGAAGUUUCAUUGAAAGUGGGAGAAAAGUGGUGCUCACUCCUUCAAAUGGGUUUUUGAAGAUGUCAUCUCAUUAAAAUGAGGCCAUACUCAAUUACGGUGGACCCUAAUCCAACAACUAAUGUCCAUUUAAGAAGAGACAAGGACAGACACAUGGAACAAAGAGGGGGUGGAAGGAAUCACGUGAAGAGGAGUCAGAGAUUAGAGGAUCUACAAACUAAGGAACACAAAGGAUUCCUGGAAACACCCAGCAACUGGGAGAGAAGUGUGGACUGGAUUCUCCCUGAGCACCUCCAAAAAGGAAACAAGAUCUCAGACUAACAGCCUCUCAAAAAAACAAAUGAAAAGUUUGCAUUUUUUAUUUGUUUUGCCACCAGGUUUGUUGUACUUUGCUGUACUUUGUUACAGCAGCU